UACGAAGGGGGCUAGCGUUGCUCGGAAUCACUGGGCGUAAAGCGCACGUAGGCGGAUUGUUAAGUCAGGGGUGAAAUCCUGGAGCUCAACUCCAGAACUGCCUUUGAUACUGGCGAUCUUGAGUCCGGGAGAGGUGAGUGGAACUCCGAGUGUAGAGGUGAAAUUCGUAGAUAUUCGGAAGAACACCAGUGGCGAAGACGGCUCACUGGCCCGGUACUGACGCUGAGGUGCGAAAGCGUGGGGAGCAAACAGG
rnacentral:rRNA from 1 species